CAGADANANNUGNUNNAUGGCUNUNNUCANCUCNUGCCGUGAGGUGUUGGGUUAAGUCCCGCAANGAGCGCAACCCCUAUUGUNAGUUNNCAGCAUAUAAUGGUGGNCACUNUNUGGAGACUGCCCGGGUUAACCGGGAGGAAGGUGGGGAUGACGUCAAGUCAUCAUGGNCCUUACGCCUAGGGCUACACACGUACUACAAUGGUGGGUACAAAGGGCAGCGAAGCCGCGAGGCCGAGCGAAUCUCAAWAAACCNAUUAUAGUCCGGAUUGCAGUCUGCAACUCGACUGCAUGAAGUUGGAAUCGCUAGUAAUCCCGGAUCAGCAUGCCGGGGUGAAUACGUUCCCGGGCCUUGUACACACCGCCCGUCACACCACGAAAGUCGGUUCUACCCGAAGUCGCCGGACUAACCCUUGGGAGGUAGGCGCUACGGUAGGGCUGGUAAUUGGGGUGAAGUCGUAAAAGUACAUAGUUAAAUAUUGUUGCGCUCAUCGCCAUAU
rnacentral:rRNA from 1 species